ACACUCGGCCAAAGGAUAUAUAUACGUGUGUGUGUGUAUGUAUAUACAUAUAUGGACACUGUAUAUAUUUUUAUAAAUACAUGUGUACUCUUUAAAACCCUAAAUGAGAUCUUGAGUUUCCUUGCUGGGUCUACAGCAGUGGGGUCUCAGCCAGGGGUGAUUCUGUCCCCAGGGGACACAGCCAUGUUUGACAUUUAUGGUUGUCACGAUUAGGGGGUGCUCCUGGCAUGGAGUGGGUUGAGGCCAUGGACACUGCUCAGCGCCCUGCAGUGCCCUGGAUCGCCCCAACCCAGAGAGUGAUCCAGCCCCAGUGUCACAGUGCCAAGGGGGAGAGCCUGGUCUACAGCUUCCUGUCCCCCCGCUUGUCUCUUGGGGACAUCACCAGUUGGGAGCCGCUGGUUUUACUCAGCUGCAUAGUGUCCCGGCCUGUGCCAGGAUUACUAAACUGGUCCCCCACAGAUGGACAGCAUGGCGGCUUCCAAACUGUGGGCAUUAGUUUUAUAGGUGGCAGUCAACUCUUUUGUGCUUCUAUAUCUGGGACAGUUGCAGAGAUGCUGAAGAGUGAAAUAACUGUAGAGAGAGUGCUUUAAAAAAAAAAAAAAAAAAAAAGCCAGAUUGUGCUGGAAAGUGCCAGGAGCUAAAUCAUGCACCCAUCUUCCGGGCCCUCCGCACGCAGGUCUAAAUCCACCAACUGCCUUUUUAAAGAAACUACGAUGUACGGUUCCCUGCUGUAACCAGGGGCAGGUAUUUGCUGACUCGCCUACAACCCAGAGAGUUAGGAGCUGGCGUCGCCCCAUUUCACAGAGGGGAAAGCCGAGAUGCAGAGAGAUGAAGCUGCUGGCUGGAGGAGACAUAGACCCAAGCUAUCUAAAGACUCCAACCUUCCCCACCUUCCGAGAUGCGUCCUGUUGCCAUAGCCAUUUUACAGACGAGGAAACCGAGGUUCCUAGAGGGGCAGUCUGUGCUCUGUAAACUUCACCUUCCAAAGGAUUCUAAGCUGCUGAAUGAAGGUUGCAGGCAGGGUGGGCUGUGCAGGGGAGGGAGGGUGGAAGGCACGGGGUCUGGAAGUCUAGGAGGAUUGUCUGAAGUCAACCGCAACUUUUAAAUGUCUGUGAAUUUUAGAUUUCACCCUAUACGUGUCCCUAGCGUGUUUUAAUAAAAUACUGCUUCACGUUA